rnacentral:rRNA from 1 species
AGAGUUUGAUCCUGGCUCAGAACGAACGCUGGCGGCGUGCCUAACACAUGCAAGUCGAGCGAGAAAGCCCGCAAGGGUGAGUAAAGCGGCGCACGGGUGAGUAACACGUGGGUAAUCUGCCCUAGAGUCCGGAAUAACUCGCCGAAAGGCGCGCUAAUGCCGGAUGAGACCACGGGAGCCUCGGCUCUCGCGGGAAAAGGUGGCCUCUGUACACAAGCUAUCGCUCUAGGAUGAGCCCGCGGCCCAUCAGCUCGUUGGCGGGGUAAUGGCCCACCAAGGCUACGACGGGUAGCUGGUCUGAGAGGACGAUCAGCCACACUGGAACUGAGACACGGUCCAGACUCCUACGGGAGGCAGCAGUGGGGAAUCUUGCGCAAUGGGCGAAAGCCUGACGCAGCAACGCCGCGUGUGUGAUGAAGGUCUUCGGAUCGUAAAGCACUGUCGCGAGGGACGAAUAAGGGGCGGGCGAACAUCCCGUUCCGAUGACGGUACCUCGAGAGGAAGCACCGGCUAACUCUGUGCCAGCAGCCGCGGUAAUACAGAGGGUGCGAGCGUUGUUCGGAAUUAUUGGGCGUAAAGCGCGUGUAGGCGGCCUUGCAAGUUGGGUGUGAAAGCCCUCGGCUUAACCGAGGAAGUGCGCCCAAAACUACGAGGCUUGAGUGCCGGAGAGGGUGGCGGAAUUCCCGGUGUAGAGGUGAAAUUCGUAGAUAUCGGGAGGAACACCAGUGGCGAAGGCGGCCACCUGGACGGUAACUGACGCUGAGACGCGAAAGCGUGGGGAGCAAACAGGAUUAGAUACCCUGGUAGUCCACGCUGUAAACGAUGAGCGCUAGGUGUUGUGGGUGUUGACCCCCGCAGUGCCGCAGCUAACGCAUUAAGCGCUCCGCCUGGGAAGUACGGCCGCAAGGCUAAAACUCAAAGGAAUUGAUGG